rnacentral:rRNA from 1 species
CUGUUGGGUAGGGGAGCGUUGUGUAAGCGGAUGAAGGUGAACUGAGAGGUUUGCUGGACGUAUCACAAGUGCGAAUGCUGACAUAAGUAACGAUAAAACGGGUGAAAAACCCGUUCGCCGGAAGACCAAGGUUUCCUGUCCAACGUUAAUCGGGGCAGGGUGAGUCGGCCCCUAAGGCGAGGCUGAAAAGCGUAGUCGAUGGGAAACGGGUUAAUAUUCCCGUACUUGGUAAAGCUGCGAUGUGGGGACGGAGCAGGUUAGGUUAGCGUGCGGUUGGAUGUGCACGUUUAAGCUGGUAGUUGGGGUAGGUAGGCAAAUCCGCUUAUCCAAUAAAAACAACGAGAGGUGAUGACGAGGCCCUAAGGGGCUGAAGUAACUGAUACCACACUUCCAGGAAAAGCCACUAAGCUUCAGGCUUUACUAAACCGUACUGAAAACCGACACAGGUGGUCAGGUAGAGAAUACUCAGGCGCUUGAGAGAACUCGGGUGAAGGAACUAGGCAAAAUAGCACCGUAACUUCGGGAGAAGGUGCGCUGGCGUAGGUUGUAGGAGUUAACCUCCGAAGGCUGAACCAGUCGAAGUGACCCGCUGGCUGCAACUGUUUAUUAAAAACACAGCACUCUGCAAACACGAAAGUGGACGUAUAGGGUGUGAUGCCUGCCCGGUGCUGGAAGGUUAAUUGAUGGUGUCAUCGCAAGAGAAGCACCUGAUCGAAGCCCCAGUAAACGGCGGCCGUAACUAUAACGGUCCUAAGGUAGCGAAAUUCCUUGUCGGGUAAGUUCCGACCUGCACGAAUGGCAUAAUGAUGGCCAGGCUGUCUCCACCCGAGACUCAGUGAAAUUGAAAUCGCCGUGAAGAUGCGGUGUACCCGCGGCUAGACGGAAAGACCCCGUGAACCUUUACUAUAGCUUGACACUGAACAUUGAAUUUUGAUGUGUAGGAUAGGUGGGAGACUAAGAAGUGUGAACGCCAGUUUGCAUGGAGUCGACCUUGAAAUACCACCCUUUAACGUUUGGUGUUCUAACGAGGCACCCUAAUCGGGUGUUCGGACAGUGUCUGGUGGGUAGUUUGACUGGGGCGGUCUCCUCCCAAAGCGUAACGGAGGAGCACGAAGGUUUGCUAAUCACGGUCGGACAUCGUGAGGUUAGUGCAAUGGUAUAAGCAAGCUUAACUGCGAGACAGACAAGUCGAGCAGGUACGAAAGUAGGUCAUAGUGAUCCGGUGGUUCUGCAUGGAAGGGCCAUCGCUCAACGGAUAAAAGGUACUCCGGGGAUAACAGGCUGAUACCGCCCAAGAGUUCAUAUCGACGGCGGUGUUUGGCACCUCGAUGUCGGCUCAUCACAUCCUGGGGCUGAAGUAGGUCCCAAGGGUAUGGCUGUUCGCCAUUUAAAGUGGUACGCGAGCUGGGUUUAGAACGUCGUGAGACAGUUCGGUCCCUAUCUGCCGUGGGCGUAGGAGAAUUGAGAGGGGCUGCUCCUAGUACGAGAGGACCGGAGUGGACGCACCACUGGUGUUUCGGUUGUAUCGCCAGAUGCAUUGCCGAGUAGCUAAGUGCGGAAGAGAUAAGUGCUGAAAGCAUCUAAGCACGAAACUUGCCUCAAGAUGAGUUCUCCCAGACUUUAUGUCUGUAAGGGUUGUUUGAGACUAAGACGUAGAUAGGUGGGGUGUGUAAGUAUUGUGAGAUAUUGAGCUAACCCAUACUAAUUGCCCGAGCGGCUUAACUAUACAACGCUCAAG